rnacentral:tRNA from 1 species
GGGCCCGUAGCCUAGCUGGAUAUGGCGCAGGCCUUCGGAGCCUGAGGGCGGGGGUUCAAAUCCCUCCGGGCCCGCCA